rnacentral:rRNA from 1 species
GUCGAGAAUCUUUCACAAUGGGGGCAACCCUGAUGGAGCGACGCCGCGUGGAGGAUAAGGUCUUCGGAUUGUAAACUCCUGUCAUGCGUGAACAAGGUUGCUUGGUUAAUACCUGGGCAAAUUGAUGGUAACGCAAGAGGAAGAGACGGCUAACUCUGUGCCAGCAGCCGCGGUAAUACAGAGGUCUCAAGCGGUGUUCGGAAUCACUGGGCGUAAAGGGUGCGUAGGUGGCGGGGUAAGUCAGAUGUGAAAGCCCGGGGCUCAACCUCGGAACUGCAUCCGAUACUGCCAGGCUAGAGUACUGGAGAGGUGACUAGAAUUCUCGGUGUAGCAGUGAAAUGCGUAGAUAUCGAGAGGAAUACCAAAGGCGUAGGCAGGUCACUGGACAGUUACUGACACUGAGGCACGAAGGCCAGGGGAGCGAACGGGAUUAGAAACCCCUGUAGUCC